rnacentral:rRNA from 1 species
CAUGCAAGUCGAACGGUAGCACAGAGAGCUUGCUCUCGGGUGACGAGUGGCGGACGGGUGAGUAAUGUCUGGGAAACUGCCUGAUGGAGGGGGAUAACUACUGGAAACGGUAGCUAAUACCGCAUAAUGUCGCAAGACCAAAGAGGGGGACCUUCGGGCCUCUUGCCAUCAGAUGUGCCCAGAUGGGAUUAGCUAGUAGGUGGGGUAACGGCUCACCUAGGCGACGAUCCCUAGCUGGUCUGAGAGGAUGACCAG